UACGUAGGGUCCGAGCGUUGUCCGGAAUUACUGGGCGUAAAGAGCUCGUAGGUGGUUUGUCGCGUUGUCCGUGAAAACUCACAGCUCAACUGUGGGCGUGCGGGCGAUACGGGCAGACUGGAGUACUGCAGGGGAGACUGGAAUUCCUGGUGUAGCGGUGGAAUGCGCAGAUAUCAGGAGGAACACCGGUGGCGAAGGCGGGUCUCUGGGCAGUAACUGACGCUGAGGCGCGACAGCGUGGGGAGCAACAGGAUAGAA
rnacentral:rRNA from 1 species